GACGAACGCUGGCGGCGUGCCUAAUACAUGCAAGUAGGACGCAGUUGCGAACGGGUGAGUAACGCGUAGGUAACUACCUAUUAGAGGGGGAUAACUAUUGGCAACGAUAGCUAAUACCGCAUACUAGUAGAUGUACCUGCGUUGUAUUAGCUAGUAGGUAGGGUAAUGGCCUACCUAGGCAACGCUACAUAGCCGACUGGAGAAGGUGAUCGGCAAAACUGGGACUGAGACACGGGCCAGACGCCGAAGGGAGGACGAAGUAGGGAAUCUUCGGAAAUGGGGGGAACCCUGACCGCGCAACGCCGCGUGAGUGAAGAAGGUUGUCGGUUCGUAAAGCUCUGUUGUUAAGGAAGCGGUACUUAACCAGAAAGGGACGGCUAACUACGUGCCAGCAGCCGCGGUAAUAC
rnacentral:rRNA from 1 species